rnacentral:pre_miRNA from 1 species
AGGAGGAAAAACCGCAGUGGCGGCAGCCAGGUCUGGAGCCCUGGAUUCAGCUCCCGCAGAAACUCCGGAGCUCUCUGUCUGCAGGGCCUGGAGGCUCUGGGGCUGA